GGCAGGCGUACGGACUCGAGUGACCGCCUGCCGCCUGCUUCUCUGCGCCUCACUAUCUACCGCCUCGGGCCAGGCUCGUGCUGUACCGUCACCGCGGUGACGGUGUUAGGCUUCAACUCCGAGAACUUCAGGGACGUUAAGACGUUGUGCCACCGCCUGCCUAACGCCAGCCGCCACCUCAACUUCACCACCGUCGACAACGUUCAUGGCGAGUGGAAGGGCGGGUCAAAGGUCAAUGUCACCUGGAGGGUUAGGGUCGCCCUUGACCCCAACCAAUUCUUUGCCGUCUUCGUCCAACCCCUGGAACCCUCACGCGUGGCGAGGGCGGCCGCCCCUGUCGCCCGCUGGUCCAGACUGACUACAGACUCAGAGGUUGAGGUCUCAGGUCUGCUAGCAGACUAUCACUACAGAAUAAGCGUGCGACUCUGCACUGCAGACUUCUGCGACGCGGCUGCAGCGCAUA